rnacentral:snoRNA from 1 species
AAGAUUGAUGACGAUGACCUCAUUGGUCAUAUUCGGAACGGGUUGGAAUCUGAAUACAAUUCAUUUGUCUCCUCAAUUUCAGUCAAAGACUCUUUAUCCCUAGGUGAUCUAUAUGCUCAGCUCCUAUC